GGCUCGUCUCGGUUUAGUUGUUUUUCCAUAUAGCCUCAUCGUGGGUGGAGUCGUCAUAGCGCAGCGAGCCGAAAGUCCCUUAACGUCAUUUGUGUGCGACACAAACGCAACAUAACGGAGACGAUGGUUCACCUGCUGCUCGGUCUGUGGCUUUCUGUCAGAUUCAAAGUAAUAGAAGAGUCAGAGAAAGCUGAAAGCGGCGAGUCGGAACACUCAGGAGACACACAGGAGAGUUUGGGAGGCGAUGCAGCAGUAUCAAGCUGAAGACAAGAGGAUAUGAACGAGACGACAUAUGAGGAUGCUCUCUGAUGAGACUUCAUGGGAUUUACCUGAAGCAGCAGCACAUGAGCCUGCAGUGGUACAAGGUGUAGAGGAGGAGGACAGAGAUGUACAGGAUGCACUGAUGCACUACGUGUCAUGCAAAAGUUAAGUUAUUCUUCUCGCUAUACUUCUGUUUUUCUGUCCCCGGACCGCUAUUGUUUUCUUUAAUGCAAUUCUGACAAUAAACUUUUGUACCUUUUGCA